UUUAGUAUAACAAAUAAGAGCAUCGAUGUUGUGCUUGCCCGCCAUGUUUGGUGAAAAAAUUGAAAGAUGGGUCGUGAUAAAUAAGGAAUCAACUCUAAGCACACCAACAAUAAGAAUUACUUGCUCAAAUCAAGCCAAUAUUCUGCAUUUUGAAGAUGUGCAUAUAGCGAUCUACCUCGAUGGUUUAGUUAUUUGUAACGUUCUAUCCAUCGAUGAAGCAAUAAAAGUCUUGAUAGCAUCUUACUGGGUUUUUGAAAUAGCCUUCGAUCCGCGACUGCAGAAAACAUUGACAUUUCUAGCCAAUUAUAUUUGUGGGCUUAGUGAGUACUGUGUCAGUCCACCGGUUCAGCGAUUGUUGAACAAACUGUUGUAAACUUCUAUUUGUAAUAAAAGUAAAAUAGCUUUUUUUU